CCUACGGGCGGCUGCAGUGGGGAAUAUUGGACAAUGGGGGGAACCCUGAUCCAGCCAUGCCGCGUGUGUGAAGAAGGCCCUCGGGUUGUAAAGCACUUUCAGUGAGGAAGAACGCCUGGUGGUUAAUACCCAUCAGGAAAGACAUCACUCACAGAAGAAGCACCGGCUAACUCCGUGCCAGCAGCCGCGGUAAUACGGAGGGUGCGAGCGUUAAUCGGAAUUACUGGGCGUAAAGCGCGCGUAGGUGGCUUGAUAAGCCGGUUGUGAAAGCCCCGGGCUCAACCUGGGAACGGCAACCGGAACUGUCCAGCUAGAGUGCAGGAGAGGAAGGUAGAAUUCCCGGUGUAGCGGUGAAAUGCGUAGAGAUCGGGAGGAAUACCAGUGGCGAAGGCGGCCUUCUGGACUGACACUGACACUGAGGUGCGAAAGCGUGGGUAGCAAACAGGAUUAGAUACCCCUGUAGUC
rnacentral:rRNA from 1 species